rnacentral:lncRNA from 1 species
CGAAAGGGUCGUCGUUUCGGCUGCGCCGCCGUUUUGGUACGGUCGAUCGUGGCGCCGCGUAGCGGCAUUUUCUUGAAAUGUUCGAUUGUUCAUUGGAAGAAGGGACAGUGCGCCCUGACUCCGCGGUACGGGCUGAACUUUGAAAGCAUGCUUGGUCUUUGCAACCCUUCCGUAUCUGCUUCUUCGUCGCAUGCACGGUGUCUCGUUUCAAAACGAUGAAUGAAAGGGUAUACGUACGCGCGCGAAAAUUACCUUACGCGAUUCUUAACAUUUAUUGGACUCAAUUAAACAAAUUAGUUGCGACCAUUUGAAAAAUUUUAUCUCAAUAAUUCCGCGAUUAAAAUUACAAACUUUAACAUCUCGAUGCUUUAAUUAAUCAUCAGUCAGUUUUUUUAUUUCUUUCAAUUUAUAUCGAGAAUUUGAAGAACGAGAAGGAUACGAAUCGAAAGAUAAAAAUAAACAAAAA